rnacentral:rRNA from 1 species
UACGAAGGGGGCUAGCGUUGCUCGGAAUCACUGGGCGUAAAGGGUGCGUAGGCGGGUUCUUAAGUCAGAGGUGAAAUCCUGGAGCUCAACUCCAGAACUGCCUUUGAUACUGAGAGUCUUGAGUAUGACAGAGGUGAGUGGAACUGCGAGUGUAGAGGUGAAAUUCGUAGAUAUUCGCAAGAACACCAGUGGCGAAGGCGGCUCACUGGGUCAUUACUGACGCUGAUGCACGAAAGCGUGGGGAGCAAACAGG